rnacentral:rRNA from 1 species
UACGUAGGGUGCGAGCGUUAAUCGGAAUUACUGGGCGUAAAGCGUGCGCAGGCGGUGAUGUAAGACAGGUGUGAAAUCCCCGGGCUUAACCUGGGAACUGCAUUUGUGACUGCAUCGCUGGAGUGCGGCAGAGGGGGAUGGAAUUCCGCGUGUAGCAGUGAAAUGCGUAGAUAUGCGGAGGAACACCGAUGGCGAAGGCAAUCCCCUGGGCCUGCACUGACGCU